rnacentral:rRNA from 1 species
UACGUAGGGUGCAAGCGUUGUCCGGAAUUAUUGGGCGUAAAGAGCUCGUAGGCGGUCUGUCGCGUCGGAUGUGAAAAUCAGGGCUCAACCCUGGACCUGCAUUCGAUACGGGCAGACUAGAGUUCGGCAGGGGAGACUGGAAGUUCCUGGUGUAGCGGUGAAAUGCGCAGAUAAUCAGGAGGAACACCGGUGGCGAAGGGCGGGU